rnacentral:rRNA from 1 species
UACGAAGGGGGCUAGCGUUGCUCGGAAUCACUGGGCGUAAAGCGCACGUAGGCGGAUCUUUAAGUCAGGGGUGAAAUCCUGGAGCUCAACUCCAGAACUGCCUUUGAUACUGGAGAUCUCGAGUCCGGAAGAGGUGAGUGGAACUCCGAGUGUAGAGGUGAAAUUCGUAGAUAUUCGCAAGAACACCAGUGGCGAAGGCGGCUCACUGGCCCGAUACUGACGCUGAGGCACGAAAGCGUGGGGAGCAAACAGGG